rnacentral:rRNA from 1 species
UACGUAGGGGGCAAGCGUUGUCCGGAAUUAUUGGGCGUAAAGAGCUCGUAGGCGGCCUGUCGCGUCGGUUGUGAAAGCCCGGGGCUCAACCCCGGGUCUGCAGUCGAUACGGGCAGGCUAGAGUUCGGUAGGGGAGAUCGGAAUUCCUGGUGUAGCGGUGAAAUGCGCAGAUAUCAGGAGGAACACCGGUGGCGAAGGCGGAUCUCUGGGCCGAUACUGACGCUGAGGAGCGAAAGCGUGGGGAGCGAACAGG